AACGAACGCUGGCGGCAGGCUUAACACAUGCAAGUCGAGCGCCUCGCAAGAGGAGCGGCAGACGGGUGAGUAACGCGUGGGAACGUACCCUUAUCUUCGGAAUAGCUCUGGGAAACUGGAAGUAAUACCGAAGGUGCCCUUAGGGGGAAAGAUUUAUCGGAUAAGGGUCGGCCCGCGUUGGAUUAGCUAGUUGGUGGGGUAAAGGCCUACCAAGGCGACGAUCCAUAGCUGGUCUGAGAGGAUGAUCAGCGACAUUGGGACUGAGACACGGCCCAAACUCCUACGGGAGGCAGCAGUGGGGAAUAUUGGACAUUGGCCGCAAGCCUGAUCCAGCCAUGCCGCGUGAGUGAUGAAGGCCUUAGGGUUGUAAAGCUCUUUCACCGGAGAAGAUAAUGACGGUAUCCGGAGAAGAAGCCCCGGCUAACUUCGU
rnacentral:rRNA from 1 species